CCCUCAAGGUCUCAGUUCUCUCAAGCUCUCUGUGUUUUCUGUGUUCUCUCAAGCUCUCUCGGCGCUCAAGCUCUCUCGGCUCUCUCAGCUUACACUGGCUCUCUCUCUCUCUCACAACUUCUUCACUGUUCUCUCUCACGCCUACCAUUCUCUCACAAAGUUGUCAGGCAUGAUACAAUGUCAUAUGAGGCCUUUGAUUCAAAAAUUGGCUGUACUGCCAAUGCUCACAAUCUCUUGAGCUUGCCUUCAUUAUUGCUGAGCGCCUAAGGAGGAGGAUCACAUCACCGCAAGCUCUUGCCCUCUAGGCUUCUACAGUGAGGCUUUAAGAGCCCACCGAUGUGCUCUUUUUCUUACGUUAAUAGCAAUUAUAUUAGCAUUAGCACUAUUGGAUUUUCAGUUAUUUAUGUUGUGUAUUGUGUGUAUACUAAAAGGAAGAGUGAUGGUUUGAGACA